rnacentral:rRNA from 2 species
CGGACGGGUGAGUAACACGUGGGCAACCUGCCUGUAAGACUGGGAUAACUUCGGGAAACCGGAGCUAAUACCGGAUAAUCCUUUCCCUCACAUGAGGGAAAGCUGAAAGACGGUUUCGGCUGUCACUUACAGAUGGGCCCGCGGCGCAUUAGCUAGUUGGUGAGGUAACGGCUCACCAAGGCAACGAUGCGUAGCCGACCUGAGAGGGUGAUCGGCCACACUGGGACUGAGACACGGCCCAGACUCCUACGGGAGGCAGCAGUAGGGAAUCUUCCGCAAUGGACGAAAGUCUGACGGAGCAACGCCGCGUGAACGAUGAAGGCUUUCGGGUCGUAAAGUUCUGUUGUCAGGGAAGAACAAGUACCGGAGUAACUGCCGGUACCUUGACGGUACCUGACCAGAAAGCCACGGCUAACUACGUGCCAGCAGCCGCGGUAAUACGUAGGUGGCAAGCGUUGUCCGGAAUUAUUGGGCGUAAAGCGCGCGCAGGCGGUUCCUUAAGUCUGAUGUGAAAGCCCCCGGCUCAACCGGGGAGGGUCAUUGGAAACUGGGGAACUUGAGUGCAGAAGAGGAGAGCGGAAUUCCACGUGUAGCGGUGAAAUGCGUAGAGAUGUGGAGGAACACCAGUGGCGAAGGCGGCUCUCUGGUCUGUAACUGACGCUGAGGCGCGAAAGCGUGGGGAGCGAACAGGAUUAGAUACCCUGGUAGUCCACGCCGUAAACGAUGAGUGCUAAGUGUUAGAGGGUUUCC